GUGCGUCAGGGACUGGGGUGUCAGACAGGACUGGUGUGUCAGGGUGGUGAUCUGAGGCGACAGGGUAGUGAUUGGGUAAAGGGUGGAUCUGAGGUGUCAGGGUGGUGAUCUGAGGCGCCAGGGUAGUGAUUGGGUAAAGGGUGGAUCUGAGGUGUCAGGGUGGUGAUUUGAGGCGCCAGGGUAGUGAUUGGGUAAAGGGUGGAUCUGAGAUGUCAGGAAUCAGUCACCAUCCUGGACGUGGAUGGGGAAGCUGAGGUGUGAGUGAUGGGUCAUUCUGUUAAGAUGGUACUGGAGGCUUUUCAGUCUCAUCCCAAACAAAACAUGCUCGAUGCUGUUGAUGUUCAAAUUCGUUCAAAAAUAAAUAUACUGCGUGACAUCAACUUUUAAAAUGAGGAAAUGGCCCAAUUUUGAAGAAUAAUCAAUAUCUAGUCGUCCAUCCUUCUACACUCAAAUCCAAUCCACUCUCUAAAACCUAGAGUUCCUGAUUCUAUCAAGGCUCUCUAUUGUACUGCAUUCUGUGUUGUACACAACACUCACGAAGUGGGGCUUAUACACAAACAACCGUGCUGAUCAGUGCAAAAUGCAUAGCUCGUUAUGGGAAAGUAAUUUCGUUUUCAGUCCAUGUACGUGGUUGCUGAAGUCUGACUUUUGAAAUGACUCACAGCCUAUCAUGUGACCUUCUGCCUUGCGAUAUUAAUGACAAUUAGCUAAUGCAACGUUCUAAGGUCGGAUGGUCGUGACACAACAAAGACCGAAUUCGUGUCCCUGUUGCGAUUUCUUUGUAGCCUGAAUCCUCUUCCAAAGCCAGUGAAACCCAGCUGGUCUUAACCCCAUUAUCCCGGAAACCCAGCCCUUUGGACGAGUGCGUGCGUGCGUGCGUGCGUGCGUGCGUGCGUACGUAUGUAUGUAUUCAAACACUGUGCUGUCAGUACCCUCAUAACUCCAGACAUUUUGGCACACUGCUUUGGCAAUGUAUCAAACCAUACGAUUAAAUUUACAGUGUAUAUGAUUGCACUUGUUAUGAUUUACUUCCUAGGUUGCUUUCAUAGAAUGGCAUUGUGCACAAAUAGAUACAUGUCGCGACUGUAACGGUGUCAAGUUAGUUUGCUGAACAAUCGUUGGCAUUCCCGAGUCGGUUAUUGUCCCGAAAACAAACCUGAAGGAAAGGAGAUAUGGGGUUUUCUGUGGGGAGCGUAGAUCUAACGUGUGUUUUUAUUUUAUAUCAUUUUAGAACAAACAAAUUAGCAUCAAUGCUGUGAAAUACAUGCUUUACUCUUUGUAUGUGUCACAGGCCAAAUAAAAGUGAAACGCUGCGUAACAUUGAAAAGAUUGGAAUCUGUUUAACCAAACGGAAAAGCUACGCCAGCUUUGGGGAAUCAUUGUUUUAAGAAAAUGUCAUUCGACUUCGACAGUAAGAGAACUGAACGUUCAAAAAUACAGAGAGAGAAAAGAGAUACGGGUUGAUCGAACCACAUGUAAGUAAGGUUGAGGCAGUGGGGUAGCCUAGUGGUUGAAGCGUUCGCUCGUUACGGCAAAGACCCAAGUUCGUUUUUUCAAUAUGGGAAGAAUGUGUAAUAAAGCUCAUUUCUGGUAUUCCCCACCGUGAUAUUGCUGGAAUAUAGUUUAAACUGGCGUAAAACCUUACUCCAUCACUACAAGUGUAGUCGAGUUAUUUAUAUAUCUUGAUCAGCUGUCGGCCUCAAAUUAUGAUUUUGUGUACUGAACUGAGCGUACUUUAGUACUUCCGUCGACCCUGUAAACAUGCGAGCAAUGUACAUCGCAUGAUGAGUUAACUAUGACAAUGCACUCUCUACCUCAAGGGGGUGCUAAGUUUAAUUGUGUCGUAAGGCGUGGGUUUGUAUCAUUAUGUUGUUAGUUAAGUGCAAAUGAUGAGUCCACACGUUUUGGAUGAACCGAAAACUGGUUUGAACUUUUCAUUUUAUGCAAUUACGUCACUUGUUACCUCCGUAAUUACCUAUCGUGUGGGUUUUCCGGAUUUGAAAUGAAUACACACAAUUACAUAAUUGAGACAUGAGGGUGUCUCUACAUGAUAUGUGACUCUUCCUAUGACAGGGGAAGUGUGACAAACAGGCGUCGUGACAUGACCGACAUAUUGGAUUCAUUCGGCCUCUUCCGUGACAAGCCGAAGGUUUCGGUUGAUCAACGGAAAGAGACGAGUGAUCACGACUGUCAACGAUCCGAAGUGAGUCUUAGACGUAGUAUGGCGG